GACAGAGGAUGCAAGCGUUAUCCGGAAUGAUUGGGCGUAAAGCGUCUGUAGGUGGCUUUUCAAGUCCGCCGUCAAAUCCCAGGGCUCAACCCUGGACAGGCGGUGGAAACUACCAAGCUGGAGUACGGUAGGGGCAGAGGGAAUUUCCGGUGGAGCGGUGAAAUGCGUUGAUAUCGGAAGGAACGCCGGUGGCGAAAGCGACCCGCUGGACCUCUUCUGACGCUGAGGCGCGAAAGCCAGGGGAGCAAACGGG
rnacentral:rRNA from 1 species